rnacentral:rRNA from 1 species
CAAUAGCGUAUAUUAAAGUUGUUGCAGCUAAAAAGCUCGUAGUUGAAACUUGGGCCUGGCUGGCGGGUCCGCCUCACCGCGUGCACUCGUCCGGCCGGGCCUUCCUUCUGAAGAACCUCAUGCCCUUCACUGGGCGUGCUGGGGAAUCAGGACUUUUACUUUGAAAAAAUUAGAGUGUUCAAAGCAGGCCUUUGCUCGAAUACGUUAGCAUGGAAUAAUAAAAUAGGACGUGCGGUUCUAUUUUGUUGGUUUUUGGAAUCGCCGUAAUGAUUAAUAGGGACAGUCGGGGGCAUUAGUACUCACAUGCUAGAGGUGAAAUUCUUGGAUUUUGUGAAGACUAACUUCUGCGAAAGCAUUUGACAAGGAUGUUUUCAUUAA